UCUCGCGUAAGGAUCUACUUGGGAUGACUUCACCCGCUGCGUACUCAUUCGUGCUUGACGCGGCGCGACGCCUACCGAAAGACAAAUGGCCAGAUGAACCGAGCGGAUACGAAUAGUCACACUGUACACUAUUUUCGCGACAGCCACCGGGAAUUGUAUCUGAUGUGAAUAAAAUAACAUACGUACGUAAAAUGAUGAAACGUAGAGUUAUCGUGAAUUCUUCUCUGACUUAUCGUAAAGGAGCAACUAACUGUGACUUAAAGCUAUUCAUGUGGAAACCAAAAACUCUUAUUGACACUUUCAUUACAUGGAUUUAGAACGCUAUUACAUCGCACAAAAUGAACUUGUUCAAUGGAAAAUUGGAAAAUGUUUUCCAUUCACGAAGGAUAAACUGUACCAUAAGGUAAUUACAUAAAAUUUUCACGAAACGAAAAAAGAGAAGAGCGGUGCUGGGGUGAAAAAAAACCAUAGCGACAUAGAAAAUGCAACGUUUCUUCGCGAGCAACGUCCUCUGAAAUUUGCGCGAGGACAUUUAAACGUCACCGCCAAGGUUACACGAUGACUUCCGCGAGAAGCCGCGAACAACCGAAACUUCGCCGAUGUUAAUGAGGUCAGAUUAAUUACCGCGUCGCGACGCGUCGCAUUAUUAAACGCCGGUGGCAGCGACGUGAUUGAAGCGCAGUAACGGCGACAGUAACGGAGUAUAAUAACGGAUAAUUAAGAGUAAAAAUAAUGCGGCCCGUUUUCACUGUUUCGCCUACCACCCUUGGCAAAGGAAAAACGAAACAUCUUCACGAAACGAUAUAUAUAUAUACGACGAGUUUUCAGAUUCCGUCAUAGAAUAAAUAUACCCAAGUAUAUAAUGACGCAUGUACGUAUUGGCUAGUGCAUCACGUUGAAAUUUUUCUUUGGUUAUCUGCCUUUUGCGAGGGUUAUGGUGCAUACGUCCCCGUGAAGCGAACGAAGAAAAUGAACGAGCCGGCUCGCGAUUCCGGAUUAUGAUAACUGUAACGACGAUCGUCCCGGCCCAAUCGUAUCUCCGCAACUAAUCUCGGCGCCAAGGCCAAAAAGUAUAACGCGCUUAAUUAGCGAGGCCGGUUAUCGGGUCGAACGGGCGAGCACCUAACGUCAAACUGGUAACGAGCUACCGGGGGAUGCCGGCAGCCCAUUUAAAUUGACUUGCAUAACCGCCGGUUGCCAGAGAAAGAGAAAGAGUACGACUGGCGAGAACGAAAGAGAAAGGGAGAAAUGAAGCGAGAGAGUAAAGAGAGAGGGAGGAGACGCCGCCUCCUCCACCCGUGGUCCUGGUGGAAAGCCAGUAAAAACACGCAUCUAUUUCCAUAUAACAAGUUUAUAUAUUACGCCGUCACUGGCAGCACGUAGUUACAUUUGAAUACGAUGUCCUAAAGCCGAGAGCAAGCGGAGCGGCUGGUUUCAACGGAGUCAGCGGAGCAGAGGUACACAUAGGGUAGGUAGAUACAUCGGCCACGACGAAUUAGGUCCGUCGGCCAGCCAGCCAGGACAGGGCAGAGCAGGCCAGGCCAGGCCAGGCCAGAGCAGGGCAGAGCAGGGCAGACCAGGGCGAUGAGCACUCUAGUGCGCGUCGAUUGCACUCCACGAAUUGCAAAAUGCAACUUGGCACAGCACGAACGCUUAACUUUAGGUAAUUAGCGCGGGACGUUGAAGUAUUUCGCCGCGCCAAACUGCCAAUUACCGCAGGCCCUCCUUCGCUUUACGAUCGUCAUACUACUCUGGAACGGUUUAAAUUUCUUCGGACAUCCGCGGAAUUUACGACGCUUUUACUGCUCCAAUGAAUCUCGAGAUGCUUUCGAACAUUCAACCCCUUUUUUUCAAUCCCGAUCCAGAAUACGCGGCUCCAUUAUUGCGCUUAAGAGUCACGGGUAUGGGCAAUACAAAAAAUCUUGGUAAGUCGUCGCGUCGAAGUCUCUGACCUCAAUAAAAAGACUAGACAGCAUGUAUAGCUUGUAUUGCCUUCAUAUUAAAAAAAAUACUGUAUCGAAUUAUUAUAUUUUUAUGAAUGUUUCUAUCUGACGUCUUCCAAUUUAAGCGACAAACAUAAUUAAGCGUAUACUUUCUCGUCAUGUACACGUACCAAUAAUUAAUCUACUUUUCUUUUAUCUAUCAUUAAUAUCUAUAAAUUUUACACGAUAUACUAGAUUGUAUCAACAAAAUCAUGACGUUGCACAGUUAUAUUAAAAAUGAACGCUAAAUGUUCUAACUAUUAAAGAAUGGUCAAAUUGUAGCAAGCAAUAAACUUUGGUAUGCCGGGCGAUUAUCUCGUACCGUACAGCCUUGGCGUUAAUGUUACGCGUUUCUUUUCAUCAGCGGUACUAUACGUAUGUAACUAGUUUCUCUUCGACCUUGGCCGCUGCCAGGCCGUCGCUUUUAAUUACAAAAUUUUGCUUUUCGUUUACGAGCCGUUUGAGAUAGGUAAGCCAUCGCAAUUGCGUCAAACGGUAUAAAGCUCCCAGUGAUUUACGAAGUGGAACGGAGCGAGAACAGGAUGGCCCGUUUUCAUUAAGCCGCGUAAAAAGGAAAAAAAUUUAUUAUACGAUAUAAUGAAUCAGAUACAAGCCGCGUCAAAAAGGUCCAUUGCAGGAGCUUUGGUUUUAAAAUUUGCGUGAAACUACGUAGAGAAAUAAAGCUUGUUGUAAUUGCAAAUCAAAUUUGGAUGGGAAAGUAAUGAGUUCUUUUAACAGAAUAAUCGUCGUUUAGUUUGUACUUUGAUAAGGAUGCGUAAAAAUGCGCAUUUUUAAUUUUAUUACAAGUAUAAAUUUCGUUAAAUCAAAUUUCAGGUUAUUGAUAUUAUUUUAUAAAUUUGCGCCACAAUUACUCAUAC